UACGGAGGGUGCAAACGUUGCUCGGAAUCAUUGGGCGUAAAGCGCACGUAGGCGGCUUGUUAAGUCGGGUGUGAAAUCCCCAGGCUCAACCUGGGAAGUGCACUCGAAACUGGCAAGCUUGAAUAUGGAAGAGGGUCGCGGAAUUCCCGGUGUAGAGGUGAAAUUCGUAGAUAUCGGGAGGAACACCAGUGGCGAAGGCGGCGACCUGGGCCAAUAUUGACGCUGAGGUGCGAAAGCGUGGGGAGCAAACAGG
rnacentral:rRNA from 1 species